GAUGAACGCUAGCUACAGGCUUAACACAUGCAAGUCGAGGGGCAGCACAGUGUAGCAAUACAUGGGUGGCGACCGGCGCACGGGUGCGUAACGCGUAUCCAACCUUCCCGAUACUCUUGGAUAGCCUUCCGAAAGGGAGAUUAAUACAAGAUGGUGUUUCACUUUCGCAUGUUAUUGAAACUAAAGAUUUAUCGGUAUCGGAUGGGGAUGCGUGACAUUAGAUAGUAGGCGGGGUAACGGCCCACCUAGUCUACGAUGUCUAGGGGUUCUGAGAGGAAGGUCCCCCACACUGGAACUGAGACACGGUCCAGACUCCUACGGGAGGCAGCAGUGAGGAAUAUUGGUCAAUGGUCGGAAGACUGAACCAGCCAAAGUAGCGUGAAGGAUGAAGGUUCUAUGGAUUGUAAACUUCUUUAUACGGGAAUAAAACCUCCCACGUGUGGGGAGCUUGUAUGUACCGUAUGAAUAAGCAUCGGCUAACUCCGUAGCCAGCAGCCGCGGU
rnacentral:rRNA from 1 species